rnacentral:lncRNA from 1 species
UUGGACUAGCCCAUUCUAUGAAUUCCGACUAGCGUUGGACUAGCGGAAACGUACAUUCAUCCAUCACAUUUAUUCAGGCUAUGGAAAGCGAGUAGACAUGUCAAUCACAUAGCACAUAACACUUAGCAUGCAUAUCUAAAUGCCAAAACCUAAGAAAACGAUUAAACAUAUAACAAAUAGACAUGCAAGACACAUAAGGUGAUUAAGGCCCUAACUAUUACAUUUGCUAACUAGGCACAAGUCUUCAACAGCUCUUCAUCGAAUGCUCCUCCAAACCCUAUCUAUUACAAGCCAAGAGGUGUACACAUACCCCAUAAAGAAUAACUUAAAUAAAAAGCAAAAGUAAAUGACAUAAAUAAAAGAAAUUAAAGAAAGGCUAGGAAAGCAAAGUAGACAUGUAGUUCUCACGUAACACGUUGGUUCACAUAGGAGAGACAAAAAAGAUAAAAGAAGUUAUACCUCCCUUGAGUUGGAGCUCUAACGUAGUGAAAUUACUAAUUUACCCUCCAAAAUAAUAAAAGGGUCAAGGUACCGAUUUAUUUGUAAAAAUUAAAGAAAACAUGCAAACACGGGCUUACAUGGUCAUAAAGCUCUUAAAUUCAUGCAUGAAGUGCAAUUUAAACAAAGCAUAGUAAUUAAUUGAAGCAAACAAGCAAUAAAGCUGUAAAAAUAAAACUACCAAGGACCAAAAUGAAGAGAUUAUUCAAUUGGUUGGGUCAUAGUGGAACAAGGGGAGACUUGGGGGGUUGGAAUGCAAUUUUCUGGAAAUUAUUUCAUGCAGCUCAUGCAAUCCACGUAGAAAGCUUUCUGCAAUUUUUCAGCUAACAUCUUUGCUGCAGUUUCAAAUUCCAAACGCAAGUUUCAAUUUGCAUGCUCAAUUUUGAUCUAAACUUUACCCACCAAACAUCAAAGCUCUAACCCAGCAACCAAAUAUGGAACUUUAACAUCUAAACAAUCAAAACAUUGAAAGAAACUCAUGGAUUCUGCAAACUCACGGCUAUGCAGUCUCAUUCAAUCUCUUACCUAUUUGACCGAAUCUAUAUUCAUGCAAAUAACCCAAGUAUAUCUCUACUCAAAUCAAAAUGCAGAGAUUUGAAGCAAAGGUAGGAGUAGGAUCAAACAGGUUUUUGAACUCAAAAAUGCAACAAAAAUGAUCUGGACAAAAUGCUAACUUUGAGGAAACAAGAUUUUCUGCAAUUUUUCCCAGCCGAGGCCCUUUUCUCUAUCGUGUAAGCCAGAUUUUUAAUUCAAAUACAAAGCUUUGAUUAGAUAUUUCUCAACCCAAUAUCAUAACUCUAACUAAGCAACAAGCUACUUAACUUUAAACUCCAAACAAGCAAGAACAAUAAAGGAACUGAUGCAUCACAGAAAUUCUAGACAAGACAUUCAUGUAGAAUGGUUUAACAAUCUGAAAUUCAUUUUCCAGCAAAGUAUUCGGCCAUAGCUCAUGCAUUUCAGACUUCCAAACUAACGAAAAUCAUGCAACUUAUGCCUUUUAUUUUUUUAACCAAGGACUAAAUACACACAAGAACAGGCAACAGCAAAAGGCAGCAAACCCACGAAGCUUUGAUGUGCUCCUGAGUUCAUUCUCAGCAAGCAUCGCACGAAUUAAGCAAGCAAAGCAACUAACCAUAUCAUGAACUCCAACCAAACUUGCUAAUGAUGUACCAAGAUAGACUUCCUAUGUUUUCUUGCCUAAAACCCAAGUUAAAACAGAACCCAACUCUAGAUCUACACAUGCCAAAAAGUCAGAACAAAGAGCGUGCAAAGCUGGAAACUUUCUGCAACUAUCCGACAUGUGGCUUCAGAUGCAGAAACGAAUGAAUCAGCCAAGGAAAAGUUAUUUCUUUCUCAAAGUUAAAAUCUUUACUACUAAACUACAGUCCGUAGCCUAUUCCAGUUAACACCCAACCCAGCAGCAAUAUUGUGCAAACACGAAAAAACAGCGACCCAGGAACUGAUACAUGUUCAUCGCAGGAUUUCAAGACAUGUUCAUUAUACCAGUAGCCAAAUUUUUCUACGUUUUUGUGUGUCCAUUCUGAUGAUGUAUGAGCAACUAAGGAUACAAAAGAUUACCUUUAACUUCUGGUGGAAACAGGAACACAGAGCGGAUGAAAAGAUUGCUUCCGUUGUAGAGGUUCGAAGCUGCAAAUUCUCGCCGUCGAAGAUUCAAAACUAGUGACGGGCAGACUUAGAGCUGAACUUUGAAGGUCUUGUGGCCGUUUUUAUGGAAGCUACUCAACACCAAAGUUGUCCUUUAAUGAUCAGAGAAGAUGCAGAAAGCAAGAGGUUCCCCAGAAGAGAUCUCUCCGAUGGAGAAAAGCGCACUGCAAGGUGACGGAAAUCCAGCCUUGUUCCCAAGGUUUGUGCAAAAAAUUUUGUUUUCCUUCGUCUCUUUCCCCAGAUUUUCUUUACUCUUCUCGCUUAUUCCUCACUUGGUUCUUCUUUCUUUCCUCAAACCCUCAGUCCGUAGUUACCUCUCUAUCUCUGAUCUUUCUUUGCUUUGUUUUCUCCCGAUUUUCAGCCGCAAACCCUCACUCUCCCUUCGUAGCUCUCUGCCCAGAUUUCAGCCGUCAAUCUUUUAUCCCCUCUGUAUGUUU